UUUGUAAUUGCUUAUCAGACAAUACGUAUUUAGAAAAAUAAUAAGAAUUAGGAUCGUGUUUUUUUUAAAUCCUGGAUAUUAAUUGGAACCCUUGGUAACAUUACUGCUUUUGAUAUAAAAAGUGCAUUUUUGAUUAUUUACUUGGGUUAGGAUAUUAAAAUAUGGGUUGGAUUGUACGACAUAAAUAGAUGUAGUUUUUGAUCAGACAUUUGAUUUUAUUUGUGAAAUGCCCACAAAAAAGCUUCCAAUGAUUCAACAUCAGUGUGUUUGCUGCAUAAUGGAUCAUUCCUGCUGAAUUUUUAGAUCAUUUGAAGACUACACG
rnacentral:lncRNA from 1 species